GAUGAAGAACGUAGCGAAAUGCGAUAAGUAAUGUGAAUUGCAGAAUUCAGUGAAUCAUCGAAUCUUUGAACGCACAUUGCGCCCGCCAGUAUUCUGGCGAGCAUGCCUGUUCGAGCGUCAUUACAACCCUCAGGCCCCCGGGCCUGGCGUUGGGGAUCGGCGGAAGCCCCCUGCGGGCACAACGCCGUCCCCCAAAUACAGUGGCGGUCCCGCCGCAGCUUCCAUUGCGUAGUAGCUAACACCUCGCAACUGGAGAGCGGCGCGGCCACGCCGUAAAACACCCAACUUCUGAAUGUUGACCUCGAAUCAGGUAGGAAUACCCGCUGAACUUAAGCAUAUCAAUAAGCGGAGGA
rnacentral:misc_RNA from 1 species